UAAUACCAGCUCCCCGAGUGGUAGGGACAAUUAUUGGGCUUAAAGCGUCCGUAGCCGGCCUGACAAGUCUUUCGUUAAAUCCAGCGACUUAAUCGUUGGGCUGCGGGAGAUACUAUCGGGCUAGGGGACGGGAGAGGCCGAUGGUAUUCUUGGGGUAGGGGUGAAAUCCUAUAAUCCCAGGAGGACCACCAGUGGCGAAGGCGAUCGGCUAGAACGCGCUCGACGGUGAUGGACGAAAGCUGGGGGAGCGAACCGGAUUAGAUACCCGGGUAGUCCCAGCUGUAAACGAUGCGAGCUAGGUGUUGGGGUGGUUACGAACCGCUUCAGUGCCGUAGGGAAACUGUUAAGCUCGCCGUCUGGGAAGUACGGUCGCAAGGCUG
rnacentral:rRNA from 1 species